GUGGGGAAUUUUGGACAAUGGGCGCAAGCCUGAUCCAGCAAUGCCGCGUGCAGGAAGAAGGCCUUCGGGUUGUAAAGUCCUUUUCUGGGGGAAGACAUGGACGGUACCCCAGGAAUAAGUGUCGGCUAACUACGUGCCAGCAGCCGCGGUAAAACGUAGGACGCGAGCGUUAUCCGGAUUUACUGGGCGUAAAGCGUGCGCAGGCGGUGAUGUAAGACAGAUGUGAAAUCCCCGGGCUCAACCUGGGAAUUGCGCUUGUGACUGCAGUGCUGGAGUACGGCAGAGGGGGAUGGAAUUCCGCGUGUAGCAGUGAAAUGCGUAGAUAUGCGGAGGAACACCGAUGGCGAAGGCAGUCCCCUGGGCCUGUACUGACGCUCAUGCACGAAAGCGUGGGGAGCAAACAGGAUUAGAAACCCCGGUAGUCC
rnacentral:rRNA from 1 species